GAUGCUUAGGAAGGUCCACUUUGAGGGACACGCUCAGUGGGGGUCACUUUAAGGAACACAAAUAAAUCCUCCUUUAAGUCUCCUCUGUGGUUCAUGAAAAAGGAGAGAAACUCCAUCCUCACCUAGUCUCAACAGAUGGCUUGAUGAGCAAUUAUCAGGUACCAGCCCCUGGAAGCCACCAAUCUGUCUUCUGUCUCUAUUAUUUUGACUACUCCUUUCACAGAAAACCACUGGAGGAGAUACUCACAAAAAUGAAGGGGAAGAACAGGAAACAGGAAGACAUGAGAUGAAGGAAACAGGAGAUUCAACAUGGAUUUCACACCCUUUGGAGAGUUUCUUUCUUGGAUAAUUCAGGGUCUUGCUGUGUUGCUCGGGCUGCUCUUGAACUCCUGGGCUCAAACAGUCCUCUUGCCUCAGCCUCCCAACGUGCUGGGAUUACGGGAGCAAGCCACCCCACUGUGUGCAGCCCAGAAGUUGAGCCUGAGAGAUGAGAGACUGCUUAGGCGCCACCACUAGUACCAUGAGUCCCUGCACUG
rnacentral:lncRNA from 1 species